GAUUAAGUUAUUAAGGGCGCACGGUGGAUGCCUUGGCACUAGAAGCCGACGAAGGACGUUACUAACGACGAUAUGCUUUGGGUAGCUGUAAGUAAGCGUUGAUCCAGAGAUUUCCGAAUGGGGGAACCCAGCACGAGUUAUGUCGUGUUAUCGACAAGUGAAUUCAUAGCUUGUCAGAAGGCAGACCCGGAGAACUGAAACAUCUUAGUACCCGGAGGAAGAGAAAGAAAAAUCGAUUCCCUGAGUAGCGGCGAGCGAAACGGGAAGAGCCCAAACCAAUAAGCUUGCUUAUUGGGGUUGUAGGACACUCUAUACGGAGUUACAAAGGAAUAUAUUAGACGAAUCAUCUGGAAAGUUGAAUCAAAGAAGGUAAUAAUCCUGUAGUUGAAAAUAUAUUCUCUCUUGAGUGGAUCCUGAGUACGACGGAGCACGUGAAAUUCCGUCGGAAUCUGGGAGGACCAUCUCCUAAGGCUAAAUACUCUCUAGUGACCGAUAGUGAACCAGUACCGUGAGGGAAAGGUGAAAAGUACCCCGGAAGGGGAGUGAAAGAGAACUUGAAACCGUGUGCUUACAAGUAGUCAGAGCCCGUUAAUGGGUGAUGGCGUGCCUUUUGUAGAAUGAACCGGCGAGUUACGAUCUGAUGCAAGGUUAAGCAGGAGAUGUGGAGCCGUAGCGAAAGCGAGUCUGAAUAGGGCGUUGAGUAUUUGGUCGUAGACCCGAAACCAGGUGAUCUACCCAUGGUCAGGUUGAAGUUCAGGUAACACUGAAUGGAGGACCGAACCGACUUACGUUGAAAAGUGAGCGGAUGAACUGUGGGUAGCGGAGAAAUUCCAAUCGAACUUGGAGAUAGCUGGUUCUCUCCGAAAUAGCUUUAGGGCUAGCCUCAAGUGAUGAUUAUUGGAGGUAGAGCACUGUUUGGACGAGGGGCCCCUCUCGGGUUACCGAAUUCAGACAAACUCCGAAUGCCAAUUAAUUUAACUUGGGAGUCAGAACAUGGGUGAUAAGGUCCGUGUUCGAAAGGGAAACAGCCCAGACCACCAGCUAAGGUCCCAAAAUAUAUGUUAAGUGGAAAAGGAUGUGGCGUUGCCCAGACAACUAGGAUGUUGGCUUAGAAGCAGCCAUCAUUUAAAGAGUGCGUAAUAGCUCACUAGUCGAGUGACACUGCGCCGAAAAUGUACCGGGGCUAAACAUAUUACCGAAGCUGUGGAUUGUCCGUAGGACAAUGGUAGGAGAGCGUUCUAAGGGCGUUGAAGCAUGAUCGCAAGGACAUGUGGAGCGCUUAGAAGUGAGAAUGCCGGUGUGAGUAGCGAAAGACGGGUGAGAAUCCCGUCCACCGAUUGACUAAGGUUUCCAGAGGAAGGCUCGUCCGCUCUGGGUUAGUCGGGUCCUAAGCUGAGGCCGACAGGCGUAGGCGAUGGAUAACAGGUUGAUAUUCCUGUACCACCUAGCAUCGUUUUAAUCGAUGGGGGGACGCAGUAGGAUAGGCGAAGCGUACGAUUGGAUUGUACGUCGANNNNNNNNNNNNNNNNNNNNNNNNNNNNNNNNNNNNNNNNNNNNNNNNNNNNNNNNNNNNNNNNNNNNNNNNNNNNNNNNNNNNNNNNNNNNNNNNNAGUUAGCUUCUGCGAAGCUACGAAUCGAAGCCCCAGUAAACGGCGGCCGUAACUAUAACGGUCCUAAGGUAGCGAAAUUCCUUGUCGGGUAAGUUCCGACCCGCACGAAAGGCGUAACGAUUUGGGCACUGUCUCAACGAGAGACUCGGUGAAAUCAUAGUACCUGUGAAGAUGCAGGUUACCCGCGACAGGACGGAAAGACCCCGUGGAGCUUUACUGUAGCCUGAUAUUGAAAUUCGGCACAGCUUGUACAGGAUAGGUAGGAGCCUUUGAAACGUGAGCGCUAGCUUACGUGGAGGCGCUGGUGGGAUACUACCCUAGCUGUGUUGGCUUUCUAACCCGCACCACUUAUCGUGGUGGGAGACAGUGUCAGGCGGGCAGUUUGACUGGGGCGGUCGCCUCCUAAAAGGUAACGGAGGCGCUCAAAGGUUCCCUCAGAAUGGUUGGAAAUCAUUCAUAGAGUGUAAAGGCAUAAGGGAGCUUGACUGCGAGACCUACAAGUCGAGCAGGGUCGAAAGACGGACUUAGUGAUCCGGUGGUUCCGCAUGGAAGGGCCAUCGCUCAACGGAUAAAAGCUACCCCGGGGAUAACAGGCUUAUCUCCCCCAAGAGUUCACAUCGACGGGGAGGUUUGGCACCUCGAUGUCGGCUCAUCGCAUCCUGGGGCUGUAGUCGGUCCCAAGGGUUGGGCUGUUCGCCCAUUAAAGCGGUACGCGAGCUGGGUUCAGAACGUCGUGAGACAGUUCGGUCCCUAUCCGUCGUGGGCGUAGGAAAUUUGAGAGGAGCUGUCCUUAGUACGAGAGGACCGGGAUGGACAUACCUCUGGUGUACCAGUUGUCGUGCCAACGGCAUAGCUGGGUAGCUAUGUAUGGACGGGAUAAGUGCUGAAAGCAUCUAAGCAUGAAGCCCCCCUCAAGAUGAGAUUUCCCAACUUCGGUUAUAAGAUCCCUCAAAGAUGAUGAGGUUAAUAGGUUCGAGGUGGAAGCGUGGUGACACGUGGAGCUGACGAAUACUAAUCGAUCGAAGACUUAAUCAA
rnacentral:rRNA from 1 species